rnacentral:rRNA from 1 species
UACGUAGGGUGCAAGCGUUGUCCGGAAUUAUUGGGCGUAAAGAGCUCGUAGGCGGUCUGUCACGUCGGCUGUGAAAUCCCGAGGCUCAACCUCGGGUCUGCAGUCGAUACGGGCAAACUAGAGUAUUGCAGGGGAGACUGGAAUUCCUGGUGUAGCGGUGAAAUGCGCAGAUAUCAGGAGGAACACCGGUGGCGAAGGCGGCUCUCUAGUACGGUACUGACGCUGAGACGCGAAAGCGUGGGGAGCGAACAGG